rnacentral:rRNA from 1 species
AUUGAACGCUGGCGGCAGGCCUAACACAUGCAAGUCGAGCGGAUGAGUGGAGCUUGCUCCAUGAUUCAGCGGCGGACGGGUGAGUAAUGCCUAGGAAUCUGCCUGGUAGUGGUGGACAACGGUUCGAAAGGAACGCUAAUACCGCAUACGUCCUACGGGAGAAAGUGGGGGAUCUUCGGACCUCACGCCAUCAGAUGAGCCUAGGUCGGAUUAGCUAGUUGGUGAGGUAAAGGCUCACCAAGGCGACGAUCCGUAACUGGUCUGAGAGGAUGAUCAGUCACACUGGAACUGAGACACGGUCCAGACUCCUACGGGAGGCAGCAGUGGGGAAUAUUGGACAAUGGGCGAAAGCCUGAUCCAGCCAUGCCGCGUGUGUGAAGAAGGUCUUCGGAUUGUAAAGCACUUUAAGUUGGGAGGAAGGGCAGUAAGUUAAUACCUUGCUGUUUUGACGUUACCAACAGAAUAAGCACCGGCUAACUUCGUG